rnacentral:rRNA from 1 species
UAAUACUGGAUAGGCAAUUAUUCCGGUAAUGGUUUUUUGUUUAAAUGUUUUUUUCGCCUAAGGAUGGGUCUGCGGCCGAUUAGGUAGUUGGUUAGGUAAUGGCUUACCAAGCCUUUGAUCGGUACGGGUUGUGAGAGCAAGAGCCCGGAGAUGGAACCUGAGACAAGGUUCCAGGCCCUACGGGGUGCAGCAGGCGCGAAACCUCCGCAAUGUGAGAAAUCGCGACGGGGGGAUCCCAAGUGCCAUUCUUAACGGGAUGGCUUUUCUUUAGUGUAAAAAGCUUUUGGAAUAAGAGCUGGGCAAGACCGGUGCCAGCCGCCGCGGUAACACCGGCAGCUCUAGUGGUAGCAAUUUUUAUUGGGCCUAAAGCGUCCGUAGCCGGUUUAAUAAGUCUCUGGUGAAAUCCUGUAGCUUAACUGUGGGAAUUGCUGGAGAUACUAUUAGACUUGAGACCGGGAGAGGUUAGAGGUACUCCCAGGGUAGAGGUGAAAUUCUGUAAUCCUGGGAGGACCGCCUGUUGCGAAGGCGUCUAACUGGAACGGUUCUGACGGUGAGGGACGAAAGUUAGGGGCGCGAACCGGAUUAGAUACCCGGGUAGUCCUAACUGUAAACGAUGCGGACUUGGUGUUG